ensembl:snRNA
GCCACAGCUGAAACGAAAGAAGGUUAGCACUACCCUUGUUAAGGAUGGAAGAGGUCCUAGUGACCUUUACAACACGCAUAUGGUUAAGGCAUUGCCACUUACUUCAUGGGAUCUAGCCAAGUUUUUUG